AGGGGAGAGAGCGGGAGCGCGCGCGGCGGCUCUUUUCUUUCGGGGGCUGCUUCCGGGGCGUGGUGCGCGCGUCGCCCGCCCGCUGCACGCCCGCCCAGUCCCCGGUGCGCGCCCGCUGCGCUCGAAGAUCCGUCGCUUCCGAGUAUAGCUCUACGUGGCGUGGGAGUGGCGCCAGAAUUCAAACUAACAGCCGCAGUUGGAGGCGAGUCUACCGCCUGCCCCGGGCCAAAUGCGCCCUGAACAGAUUGGCCGGCUUGGGGCCGCGAGUGGGCUUGAGUUUUGUAGCGCAGGACGGCCUCAGCAUUUGAGCAUCUCGAAAAGUCGGGCUGACUUGGCGCGGCGGGAGUUGACGCCCAGCGGGCGCCGCAGGAGCUGGCGGGCACUGGUCUCCGCACUCACAGAAAGAUAAAUUGGCGUGCAGAAGUGCUUAGGUGAAAAAAGUAUGUGAAAGCACCGCCUUUCUCCUGCGGUCCAUGGCGAGAAUACCGCGCCUCUGCGGGACAGCCGGCCCGCCGCGCCGCGCGCGGCCCAGUUGCGCCCCAGUGCGGGCGUCCGCGCCCCACCCGCCCCACGCCAUCCCUGUUCUUCAUUGUGCCAGGCGCUGCUGUUGGGUUACGCGGUCUGCGCUUAGUGUUCUCCCCGACGCAGCCAACCCGAGAGUUUCCGGUUUUUCGCUAUUUCAAAUUGUGCUGAAGCGAAUUACAGAUAUAUUAUAGGGAUCUUGUUGGAAGAUCUGCAAGAUCAAUUUCUAAAGCAUGUGCAUCAUAAGGCACCACACCAGCCCUACUGCAAUAUCUGUUUCUGGUGGGAAGGGAAGAGUGUUCUUCACCUGCUACAUAAGAGGAUUGAGUAGAGACUAUCUCCCUGUGCCAACUUUGGGGCAAGAUGCGCUGGCCAUGAUGGACUGACACUCAGUAUUGAAGCUGAUCUUGCUCUAUCUCUGUGAAUAAAGUAUUAUUCCAUCCA